rnacentral:rRNA from 1 species
GCGUAGUCGAUGGGAAACAGGUUAAUAUUCCUGUACUUGGUGUUACUGCGAAGGGGGGACGGAGAAGGCUAUGUUGGCCGGGCGACGGUUGUCCCGGUUUAAGCGUGUAGGCUGGUUUUCCAGGCAAAUCCGGAAAAUCAAGGCUGAGGCGUGAUGACGAGGCACUACGGUGCUGAAGCAACAAAUGCCCUGCUUCCAGGAAAAGCCUCUAAGCAUCAGGUAACAUCAAAUCGUACCCCAAACCGACACAGGUGGUCAGGUAGAGAAUACCAAGGCGCUUGAGAGAACUCGGGUGAAGGAACUAGGCAAAAUGGUGCCGUAACUUCGGGAGAAGGCACGCUGAUAUGUAGGUGAAGUCCCUCGCGGAUGGAGCUGAAAUCAGUCGAAGAUACCAGCUGGCUGCAACUGUUUAUUAAAAACACAGCACUGUGCAAACACGAAAGUGGACGUAUACGGUGUGACGCCUGCCCGGUGC